UACGUAGGGACCAAGCGUUGUUCGGAUUUACUGGGCGUAAAGGGCGCGUAGGCGGCUUAACAAGUCACUUGUGAAAUCUCCGGGCUUAACUCGGAACGGCCAAGUGAAACUGUCAAGCUAGAGUGUAGAAGGGGCAAUCGGAAUUCUUGGUGUAGCGGUGAAAUGCGUAGAUAUCAAGAGGAACACCUGAGGUGAAGACGGGUUGCUGGGCUGACACUGACGCUGAGGCGCGAAAGCCAGGGGAGCAAACGGG
rnacentral:rRNA from 1 species